UUUGAGAGAGAACCGGCAGGAGAGAAAGGGAGAAAGAAGAAGAAGAAGAGAAAAGAGGGGAAAAUAAGGGAAAAGGAAGAGAUUGGAAGAAAUAAGUUUAAAGAUAAUCCUGAUAUUCUACCAGCGGGACGUCAGUAGGAUUUUCUUCGAUAUCAGCUUUGAGUUUUGUUGCUUUCGAGUCAGGCUUAUAGCUUGAUAGCAGGUCAUUUUGUUGGACCUUCAGAACCUGCUUUUUGGUUGUACUUUGUACCUUUCUUUUAUGUCUAGUUAGUGCUCCAAAACUCUGAACUUUUAUAAACUUUUGUAUCAAGACAAUUCAAUUAUAUUAUGAAAUUGAUUUUGUUAUUAAUGCUGCGUUGAACUCUGAUUGAGUUAGGAUAAGUUUGUGUGUAAGUUUGGGUUCGCAUAGGUAUGGAAC